UGGCCGCAGAAUGUGCACGCCGGCUCAUCCACUCUUAACUUCUGUGCACUACUGCAUGUAAGGUUGGCUUUGUGAUGGUGGCUAGCUUCGCGGCUGGUCGUCGUUGUAUCGCCGCCCUAUGUGUUUCUUACCACAAACGCUUCAGUUAUAGAAUGUCUAUUUGCGGAUAACGCAACUAUAUACAACUUUCAGCAACGGAUCUCUUGGCUCUCGCAUCGAUGAAGAACGCAGCGAAAUGCGAUAAGUAAUGUGAAUUGCAGAAUUCAGUGAAUCAUCGAAUCUUUGAACGCACCUUGCGCUCCUUGGUAUUCCGAGGAGCAUGCCUGUUUGAGUCUCGUGGAAUUCUCAACCUUACAGUUUUGUGACUGCAAGGCUUGGACUUGGAGGUCGUGUCGGCUCCUUGCGGAGUCGACUCCUCUGAAAUGCAUUAGUGCGGACGUUACCGGUCGCUUCAGCGUGAUAAUUAUCUGCGCUGCUGUCGUUACUAGUAUGCCAAGUACGCGCUUCUAACCGUCCCUUCACGGGACAAUAACUUGAAACUCUGAGCUCAAAUCAGGUAGGACUACCCGCUGAACUUAAGCAUUCAAAAGGGGGGGGG
rnacentral:rRNA from 1 species